CCGAAACUUGAACUGGCGCUUGACGCCUGACGCCUCGCCCUUGGAGGUUCGCCCUUCGCCGGAGCUUCACCUCUUCACACACAGCGCCAAAAUGAAUAAACAGCUGUCUACCACCACGGCGGCGGCGCUUGUAGGUGGCACCAGGGACGCAGGAUGAACAUGCUGCAUUUCUCAAGAUUCACCAGCGUUUACUCAUGCUAAAGCUCAUAGGACUGUAGAUCUUAACAUCCCUAUGAGGGAGAGGACAAAGGAAACCACUCUGUCUAAGAAAAGCAGACACUAAGAUGCAGCACAGAAGAGAGAAUUUUGCCAUGCUUAUGAAUUUCUUAUGGAUUAACAUUAAAUUAAAUGAGUUAUUAAAUGUGAAACACUAGAGCCUGCUGCAGACAGGCAGGCCUGCACACACCCAACUGAGGUCACGAGUCACGCAGAACACGCCAAAUCAGCCCGCUGCAGACAGGCAGCCACCUGGUUCCACACUACAAAGACGCAGAGGACACCAGACCACCAGACCAAGGUACUGAGUCCCGCUGCUCCUGGCCCAG
rnacentral:lncRNA from 1 species